rnacentral:ribozyme from 1 species
GACAGGCAAACCAAAAAAGAGAGAGAAAAAAAAAAAAAAAAAAAAAAGAGAGGAAUGCGCGAU